rnacentral:rRNA from 1 species
AGCAGCCGCGGUAAUUCCAGCUCCAAUAGCGUAUAUUAAAGUUGUUGCAGUUAAAAAGCUCGUAGUUGAAUUUCGGGAUUCUUCCGUUGGUCAGGCUAACAAGUCUGUACUAGCGUGUAGAACCUCUACCUUCUGGGGAACCAUCAUGUUAUUUAUUUAGCGUGGUGGGAAACCAGGACCUUUACCUUGAAAAAAUUAGAGUGUUCAAAGCAGGCUUACGUCUGAAUACAUUAGCAUGGAAUAAUAAAAUAGGACGGUGGUCCUGUUUUGUUGGUUUCUGAAUCACCGUAAUGAUUAAUAGGGAUAGUUGGGGGCAUUAGUAUUCAAUUGUCAGAGGUGAAAUUCUUGGAUUUAUUGAAGACUAACUUCUGCGAAAGCAUUUGCCAAGGAUGUUUUCAUUAAUCAAGAACGAAAGUUAGGGGAUCGAAGACGAUCAGAUACCGUCGUAGU